CUUUAGACCUCAAAUCAGAUAGGACUACCCGCUGAACUUAAGCAUAUCAAUAAGCGGAGGAAAAGAAACUAACAAGGAUUCCCCUAGUAACGGCGAGUGAAGUGGGAAAAGCUCAACUUUGAAAUCUGGCAGNUUNNCUGUCCGAGUUGUAGUCUCGAGAAGUGUUUUCCGCGCUGGCACGUGUAUGAGUCUGUUGGAACACAGCGUCAUAGAGGGUGAGAACCCCGUUCACGACACGUCUACCAAUGCUUUGUGAUACACUUUCGAUGAGUCGAGUUGUUUGGGAAUGCAGCUCAAAAUGGGUGGUAAAUUCCAUCUAAAGCUAAAUAUUGGCGAGAGACCGAUAGCAAACAAGUACCGUGAGGGAAAGAUGAAAAGCACUUUGGAAAGAGAGUUAAAAGUACGUGAAAUUGUUGAAAGGGAAACGCUUGAAGUCAGACGUGCGCGGUAUUUAUACCACUGCAGGCCAGCAUCGGUUUUANNAGCCGGAUAAAGGUUANAGGAAGGUGGCAGUCUCGACUGUGUUAUAGCCUUUAACUGAAUACGGAA
rnacentral:rRNA from 1 species